GAUGAACGCUGGCGGCGUGCCUAAUACAUGCAAGUCGAGCGAACCACUUCGGUGGUGAGCGGCGAACGGGUGAGUAACACGUAGGAAUCUACCUAGUAGUGGGGGGAUAGCUCGGGGGAAACUCGAAUUAAUACCGCAUACGACCUACGGGUGAAAGGGGGCGCAAGCUCUUGCUAUUAGAUGAGCCUAAAUCAGAUUAGCUAGUUGGUGGGGUAAAGGCCUACCAAGGCGACGAUCUGUAACUGGUCUGAGAGGAUGAUCAGUCACACCGGAACUGAGACACGGUCCGGACUCCUACGGGAGGCAGCAGUGGGGAAUAUUGGACAAUGGGGGCAACCCUGAUCCAGCCAUGCCGCGUGUGUGAAGAAGGCCUUUUGGUUGUAAAGCACUUUAAGCAGGGAGGAGAGGCUAAUGGUUAAUACCCAUUAGAUUAGACGUUACCUGCAGAAUAAGCACCGGCUAACUCUGUGCCAGCAGCCGCGGUAAAUAGCGUACU
rnacentral:rRNA from 1 species